rnacentral:snoRNA from 1 species
UUGCAAUAAUGUGAAUUUCUCAAUGAAACCUUCAAGUGGAAAUACAUGAGCUUUUUAACCCUGAGCAAU